rnacentral:rRNA from 1 species
GACGAACGCUGGCGGCGUGCCUAAUACAUGCAAGUCGAACGCUUCUUUCCACCCGAGUGCUUGCACUCGAUUGGAAAGCGGAGUGGCGGACGGGUGAGUAACACGUGGGUAACCUACCCAUCAGCGGGGGAUAACACUUGGAAACAGGAGCUAAUACCGCAUAACAGUUUAUGCCGCAUGGCAUAAGAGUGAAGGGCGCUUUCGGGUGUCGCUGAUGGGUGGACCCGCGGUGCAGUAGCGAGUUGGUGAGGUAACGGCUCACCAAGGCCACGAUGCAUAGCCGACCUGAGAGGGUGUUCGGCCACACUGCGACUGAGACACGGCCCAGACUCCUACGGGAGGCAGCAGUAGGGAACUUUCGGCAAUGGACGAAAGUCUGACCGAGCAACGCCGCGUGGGUGAAGAAGGUUUUCGGAUCGUAAAACUCUGUUGUUAGGGAAGAACAAGGGCGUUAGUAACUGAACGUCCCCUGACGGUAUCUAACCAGAAAGCCACGGCUAACUACGUG